rnacentral:rRNA from 1 species
AUUGAACGCUGGCGGCAGGCCUAACACAUGCAAGUCGAGCGAGCGGCGGACGGGUGAGUAAUGCUUGGGAAUCUGGCUUAUGGAGGGGGAUAACGACGGGAAACUGUCGCUAAUACCGCGUACCAUAGGAUGAGCCCAAGUGGGAUUAGGUAGUUGGUGGGGUAAUGGCCUACCACGCCGACGAUCUCUAGCUGGUCUGAGAGGAUGACCAGCCACACCGGGACUGAGACACGGCCCGGACUCCGACGGGAGGCAGCAGUGGGGAAUAUUGCGCAAUGGGGGCAACCUGACGCAGCCAUGCCGCGUGAAUGAAGAAGGCCUUCGGGUUGUAAAGUUCUUUCGGUAGCGAGGCGUUAACUACAGAAGAAGCACCGGCUAACUCCGUGCCAGCCGCCGCGGUAAUUC